UACGUAGGGGGCAAGCGUUGUCCGGAUUUAUUGGGCGUAAAGAGCGUGUAGGCGGCCAUGUAGGUCCGUUGUGAAAACUCGAGGCUCAACCUCGAGACGUCGGCGGAAACCCUCUGGCUAGAGUCCGGAAGAGGAGAGUGGAAUUCCUGGUGUAGCGGUGAAAUGCGCAGAUAUCAGGAAGAACACCCGUGGCGAAGGCGGCUCUCUGGAACGGUACUGACGCUGAGAGCGAAAAGCGUGGGGGAGCAAAACAGGG
rnacentral:rRNA from 1 species